rnacentral:rRNA from 1 species
UACGGAGGGUGCGAGCGUUGUCCGGAAUCACUGGGCGUAAAGGGCGCGUAGGCGGCCUGAUAAGUAGGGGGUGAAAUCCUGCGGCUUAACCGCAGGGCUGCCUUCUAAACUGUCAGGCUUGAGCACAGUAGAGGCAGGUGGAAUUCCCGGUGUAGCGGUGGAAUGCGUAGAGAUCGGGAAGAACAUCAGUGGCGAAGGCGGCUCACUGGACCGGUACUGACGCUGAGGCGCGAAAGCGUGGGGAGCGAACAGG